UGAUAAUUAGUUUAAAUCAAAACAAG
rnacentral:tRNA from 1 species